GUGGGGAAUUUUGGACAAUGGGCGCAAGCCUGAUCCAGCCAUGCCGCGUGCAGGAUGAAGGCCUUCGGGUUGUAAACUGCUUUUGUACGGAACGAAAAGACUCUUUCUAAUAAAGAGGGUCCAUGACGGUACCGUAAGAAUAAGCACCGGCUAACUACGUGCCAGCAGCCGCGGUAAUACGUAGGGUGCGAGCGUUAAUCGGAAUUACUGGGCGUAAAGCGUGCGCAGGCGGUGAUGUAAGACAGAUGUGAAAUCCCCGGGCUCAACCUGGGAACUGCAUUUGUGACUGCAUCGCUGGAGUGCGGCAGAGGGGGAUGGAAUUCCGCGUGUAGCAGUGAAAUGCGUAGAUAUGCGGAGGAACACCGAUGGCGAAGGCAAUCCCCUGGGCCUGCACUGACGCUCAUGCACGAAAGCGUGGGGAGCAAACAGGAUUAGAAACCCCUGUAGUCC
rnacentral:rRNA from 1 species